UUCUUACGGGGGGCAGCAGUGGGGGAUAUUGCACAAUGGGGGAAACCCUGAUGCAGCGACGCCGCGUGGGUGAAGAAGCGCCUCGGCGCGUAAAGCCCUGUCAGCAGGGAAGAAAAUGACGGUACCUGAAGAAGAAGCCCCGGCUAACUACGUGCCAGCAGCCGCGGUAAUACGUAGGUGGCAAGCGUUGUCCGGAUUUACUGGGGGUAAAGGGCGUGCAGCCGGGAAGACAAGUCAGAUGUGAAAUCCCGCGGCUCAACAGCGGAACUGCAUUUGAAACUGUUGUUCUUGAGUACCGGAGAGGG
rnacentral:rRNA from 1 species